rnacentral:rRNA from 1 species
GACGUAGGAUGCGAGCGUUGUCCGGAUUUAUUGGGCGUAAAGAGUUCGUAGGUGGUUUGUUAAGUCUGAUGUUAAAGACUGAGGCUCAACCUCGGAAAUGCAUUGGAUACUGGCAGACUCGAGUGUAGUAGAGGCAAGCGGAAUUCCAGGUGUAGCGGUGAAAUGCGCAGAUAUCAGGAGGAACACCGGUGGCGAAGGCGGGUCUCUGGGCCGAUACUGACGCUGAGGAGCGAAAGCGUGGGGAGCGAACAGG